rnacentral:rRNA from 1 species
UACAGAGGGUGCGAGCGUUGUCCGGAAUCACUGGGCGUAAAGGGCGCGUAGGUGGCGGGCCAAGUCCAUGGUGAAAGCUCGAUGCUCAACAUCGAGUCGGCCACGGAUACUGGUUCGCUCGAGCACUGUAGAGGCUAAUGGAAUUCCGGGUGUAGCGGUGGAAUGCGUAGAGAUCCGGAAGAACACCGGUGGCGAAGGCGGUAGCUGGGCAGUUGCUGACACUGAGGCGCGACAGCGUGGGGAGCAAACAGG